rnacentral:lncRNA from 1 species
CCACAAUGGAAGCCUGGGAUGAGUGUCCUUGCAAACUGGGAGAGGGAGCUCUCUGCAUGUUCACCCAGACUUGCCGCUGUCAACUGCGGAAGAAUCUUCAGGAAGGGCAUAGGGCCUUCCUGAAUGUCACACCCAGACAUUCCCUUCUCUUGUAGCACCUUUCCUGUUCUCUUGUCUUCUCUCCUCCCCCUCCCCCUCCUUCUCUCCCACCCCAGCCCUCCCUCACCUUCUUCUCUCCCUCCCUUCUAGUCCCUUCUUCAUUUCCCUUUCCUCGUCCGUCCUAUCCACCUGUCUUCCCUUCCUUUCUUCCUCUUUUUCAUCUCCAUGCUGCUCCUGUUCUUCUAGACGACUGUGUCACACAAUGCCUGCUCUCUGCCAGAACGUCAGAGGAGCAGGGGGUGACAGUGCAUGGAUCCCUGUGAGGAGAGAGCCAGCGUUCGCAGUCACUGACUGGGAGCCUGGGAGAUAGCUCAGUCAGUAUGGCCAUGAAGACAUGAAUUCCUUAUAACCCAGAAGAAAAUGCCAGGUGCAUGCUUAGAAUCCCACCGCCGGGGAGGAGGAAACUGAAGAUCCCUGGGAUAGCUGGCUGGUCAGCCUAGCUUCCUCAGUGAGCCCCAGGCUCAAUGCUUCCUGUGGCAAGCUCCCAGGGGCCCCACCUCAAGGGUGCCUCUUCCCCAUGACCACCUGUGACCUUCAAAAUGACAGCUGCCAAGGAUGCUGAAGAUGGUCAGCCUGGCUCAUCACCAACUCUGGAACUCAGCAGCUGCAUCAAUGUGGAUGGGGAAAAAAAAGUCUCGGUUACAUUGAUCUUUGCCAGUGUCUCCUUCAGCAACAUACAUCGCCACAACCACAUCUCCAGUGGUCUCUGGGAACAUCAUCACUAUUUUCAGAUCUGUGACAGUUGUGUCAGGUGGUUGAAAAUGUCAUUAAACCCAUUACUGCUUCAAAAUUACAGUCAUUAUUGAAACCUGCUCCUAGACCUUGUUAUUUAGUCUGUUAAUAAACAAGGAUUCCUAGAACCAUAAACUUUAUUUCUUAAAAUAUUGUGCUAACUGUAUUUCAGAAC